CCGGGCCCGCGGGCCCGCGGCCGGGACGCACAGCCGCCUCGGGGGCCGGAUUCCGAGCGCGGGGAUGGCGCCGGCCCCUUCCCCUUUCAGCUGGAGCUUGGCGUGUGCAUCAUAAUAUAAAGACGGCUUCUACCUAUAGUUUCAUGGUUACUCAAAACAGCGCUGUGAGAAGAUCAAGACCAGAAUCUGCUUCACCAGGAGGAGGACCAGAGAGGUGGCUGCUGCUCCAAAAUCUCCUGAUCAAUUAAAAGAUUAUCCCUCAUCCUCAGUACUUCCUAAAAUGAAUUUUGUUUCAUUAAUAUCCAGUUUUCAAAACAUUGGCAUGAGCCUAUCUUGUCCUGACCAGUAGCCGACAUCAAAAGCCGCAUUAAGUUUUGUUCCAAAGAUAAAGUGUUUUAAUAAUUUCUCUUUUAUCCUCUUGUGUCCCUUCCUUUCAUCUGUGUUGCAGCUUCGGUUUGCCAUUUACAAAUGUCAUGUUGAAAUUUUAUUGUAUGAAAAAUUAUCUCAAAAUAUUAGUGAAUUCACAAUUGCAAUCCGAUUUUGAAUGUCUUCAUUGUUUGUUUGUUUUGCCAAAAUUUAAUUUGAAUAUAUAUCAGGGUUGGUUUGAAUCAUUCAAUAAUAAAAUUCAUUUCAUACCUCUUAGAUACUUUCUUGAUUUUGAGUGUUUCCAUUUCUCCCCUUUUCU